UAAGUCUGUGAUAAGGAUCACAUUUCCCUUUAUGUUUUUCCAACAACAGCUCAUGAUACAAUUUGUACAGCUCCUGGUAACUUUUACUGGGGAAAAUUUGGGGAAAAAAAAAACAGCAACAAAAGUACCAUGUUUCAAAAGGAACCAGAUCUGAUAAGGCGGCAGAAAUAUUUACUCCAUUAUUUCAAGAGGCAGGUUCUUUGUUUCUCAGAUGCUUCCUGUUUUAAAAAUAGCUUUCCACAACUGUUCCAGGACUAGGAUGUCCUUUUAAAUGAAAUGGGCUUUGAAGAUGCGAUUUCAUUUCAGUGGCAGAUAAUCGGCCAGCCUUUUGCAGGAGGCGGCUCAGACCGGGUAUCCUGGACCCUUGGGUGCCGGUCCCGCGGCAGCCGGGGCUGGGUGGCUGGACGGUGAGGAGGUGGGGAAGCAGCCAGCACAGGUGGGAGCCUAAACAGAGCGGGGCACCUGCUAAGGGGACAAAGGCUUCCAGCCAUCGGGCCGCACAUCAGUGAUGUUGCAAAAUCAAAGGUGCUGCCGUUCACAUGCAGGAUGUGAUUGGAUGGAGGGAGGGUAUGACCCUUAGCUUUAGGUGUGAUCGUGGCCUGGUGGCUGCGUGAGAAGGCGCCCGCCUUUCUGAGCGAUGCGUACUUGGAUGGGGAAGGACGAAAUGAUGCCGUGACCGAACUGCCUUAAGGCCUGGCUGCAAAGGGAUCGGACACCGGGCGACGCGUGCAGUGGAUACGUAAAAAAGCAGCGGGGCAAGAAGAAACAAACCUUUUCCAAGACCGGCAAAAUGCUGAGCCACCGGCGCUUUGGGGCUUUGAGGCUCCGGGCAAAUGACUACAAGACGCGGAGCGUCGGUUUUCCCACCAGGAAAAUGCACGGUCGCCUUGCCUCGCCUGCCAGGUGGCUCUGAGGCUGAAACAAAAUGAUGGAAGCUGAAUCAUUGCAAACACGGAGAGGGUUUCACCUCAUGCUCACGUGCGGAGCUGUGACCACCUUGGGGAGCAGUGACACGGUGACUGCCACCUGAGGGGAGGAAGCCUGAGGAAUCGCCUCCAGCCACAUUCUGGAAGCUGCUGGCUCUUCCAGAGAGGAUGGGGGGCACGCCCCUCAGAGGUCAGGAAGCCCACAGGCUUCGUGCGAGGCCCCAGACCCACGUCACUGCCAAGGACAGAGAAGCCAGGCGGUCUCCUGGGCACCAGGGAAUCCCACACCCUCCAGGACCCCAGGGGCCCCUCGUCCAUAAGCUGGAAAAGGGAGAUUUAAUUUCCCAAUAUUGGUUCAUUAGUUCUAACAAAUGUACCAUUAUGAGUACAAGAGGUUAAAAACAGGGGAAUUUGUUAGGGGUUUAUGGGAACCCCUUUGCAUUAUCUUUGUGAUUUUUCUGCAAAUCUGAAACUGGGUCUAAGAAGUAAAGUUUACUAAAACGUUAAGAACAAGCAAAUAAAUACGUCUGUUAGAAUGAU